rnacentral:lncRNA from 1 species
UCAAAUUAAAGAAAUAUUUUAAUAUAAAAUUAAAUGUAUACUUUCCAAAAUGGCACCAAUAAAAUGUCCGAACAAAAGCGGAAAGAAAUGCUAGUGGAACAUACUCCACUAGAUCAAUCCUAUAACUAAGCUAGAAUAUAAUGGGCAAGCAUCCUUGCAAACAUGAGGGCCUACCAAGUCCGGAUGAAUGCUCCAUGUCGGAUAGUUUUAGUGUCAACCUGUAGCUCUAGCGUACACCUGUGCCUGCACCUAAAAUUGUAGAGUUUUAUGGGAUUAGUACACACUUGUACUAAGUAUGGGUAUAUGCAAGAAUACACCAAGUACAUGCAUGAUUAAGAACAACUCUUUCGUAACAACAUUAUUAUGGAACGUUAAGUCAGUGGACUUGCCAAAUUAAGAUUAGGAAAGUUAGUGAGCUUUCAAAAUUUGGAUUAUGAAAGUAAUGCCAUGAGAGUAACAUGCAUAAUCAUACUUAUCAUAUUGCACACAACACAUAACAUCUUGCACAUAACACAUAACAUAUUGUAUAUAGCACAUAAAAUUAUUCAUAUCAUUCGUUCAAUCUAUGAGACCUUGGAAUCAUUGACUUAACAUCAAGACUUCCCAAAAAUGAGGGCUCAACAUAUGAGACCUCAACUAGGGAGACUUCUUUAGAAAACACAUAGUCUGCUUCAUUAAUUCAUACGUACUUUAUUUCAUUUCAUUCAUAGGCUAGUGUAAACACCAGCUAUACCUAGGAUGUAGUUUCAGACUUUCAUCGAGUUCAUUGUGCAAUAAUCAAGAAUGAUCUAGUAUCAUUAAUUAAGUGUAGCUCACCUCUUGUUUAUCCUAUCCUAAUAACUUAAGUCUCAUUCAUUUCAUUAUGUGCAUCAUUUGAAGCUGGCCUCAUUCAAUUAGGGGGAACUUUAACUUUUACUGAAAUAGAACAUGUGAACAUCAUGAAAUCCAGUUUCAUGAAACCCCACACGGAAAAGAGGUGGAAUCACCGGCAAAAGUGACCCAAAACAUGCUAGCGUACAUGGGAAUUGAACCACGCCAGAUCCCUAUAUUGGCAGUAUAAGUUCGAUGACUGGGAGAUAUAAGAAAAAUCAUACCCGGCAUGCCGGAAAGUCUCAUCUCAUAAGAGUUACAUGAAACUCCGCCCUUCCCGAAAGAAGGCGUCACCGCUCAUAUCUAGUCUAUUGUUGCUCAGGAUAAAGUCCCAUUACAUUCAACUCAUAUAUCGUGGAAGCUAGCUUAUAGUAUGAGGAAAUAAUUGCUCAAUAGAUGAUUUCUCAUUUCAUCAUUAUUAUUAAGUGUGUUAAUCUCAACACUUUCAUUAUAGUGUUCAUAGAGGUUGGUCUCUUCAUUAUCUUACUCUUUCAUAGGUGAGUAUGCUUGGUAAUAUUUACUUAGGCUCAUUUGAGAUUGAUCUCAUCUUUUACAUUAGCCUCAUAUCAUGUUGUCACCACAUUCAUUAAGAUUAGCACAUUCUCCCUUCAUAAUUACGCACCCCAUUUUACGUGAAUGUUUAUUUAAACAUAUGCCAAUCACUUGGCCAUUUAGUGUGUUUCACACUCUUACUCAACCCAUUUACGGUUUCAUCAUUUUAUUGUUUAUUUUAUGACUUCUUUGUUAAUUUGUUAAUUUCAUUGUUUAUUUCAACAUACGCCAAUGCACUUGGCCAUUUUGUGUGUUUCACACUCUUACAUAACCCUUUUAGGGUUACAUCAUUUUAUCACAUACAUCUUAGGUUCACUUACAUUAAAUGUAUGCUAGACUUAUGAGUCUAUAGAUUCAAGCCAUGGUGCUUCAUUUAUAUUUUGUCUAUGUUAUUCAUAUUUACCCAAUAUUAUAUGGUACAAAACUUAUGCAUCUUGUAGAUAUGCCAAGAUAUUGAUAUCGAUCUUUAGAGGCAGCAUUCAUUAAAUAUUUACUUACGUAUGACUUAUGUGUAAAUAUGGAAUUGGGCAAGGGAACCCUAUUUCGAAUCCCUUGGACAACCUUUACUCUGAUUAGACACUUGAUAAUCACAUUUUUCAGAUUUGGGGGACCCUAGUUCGAUCCUCAUAAACCCCAUAAUAUUUCCUCUCUUUUUCUCCUCUCCAUUUUCGUUUAUGUAAAAGAGGUUGUGAGUUCAAUCCCCCACAAGCUCGUUAUUUUUGUUUUAAUUUAUCUCUUAACUUUUUAACCUAUCAAAGAGAUUGUCGGUUCAAUACCCACUCUCCACAUUUAUUUUCUCCUUAAUUUUUCUCCUAACUCUCUCAUCCAUUCAAGAGGUUGUGGGUUCAAUCCCCACUCACCACAUCUAAAUUCCUUGCAUUUUUCUCAUGAAAUUUUUAUGAAAUUUUCAUUAAGUGAUGUCAUGGUUAAAUCCUCAAUGAUCUCACAUUUGAAAAAUUAUUUAAAAGAAGCUCAUUUUUUAAAAGUCGACCGAGACUAAAUUUCCAGCAGCUUGGAAAUUUAGUCUCUUCCAAUCUAUUUUUAUCUUAAUCUUCUGUUGAUUUUUUGUAGAUUUCACUUAAUGAUGUCUUGGAUUCAAUACUUAGUUAUAUCACUUAUUUUACAUUCAUUUUUGAUUGCAUUUUGUACCAAUUUGUUUGGCCGAACCCAACCUACCAAAUGCUGGAAAUUUGUUCACUAUUUUCAUCUUCUUUUUAUCAUCAUUCAUGCAUUUAUUCUUAAGGCAUUUCAUGGAUUAUUUGUUGCAUAUUUAUGUGUAAUCAUUUUACUAUUAUAUUCAUCCAAGAAUAACCAUUUCAUCCAGCAGCAUUACACCACUUUUAAACCUCAUGAUUUACACAACCAUUCACACAUAAAAUUCAACCAUAAAAACGUAUCACUUUUCACAUACUUUCGGUUGACAUAACUUAAUAUGCUUACAAUACUGAACACAUAAUCAAGAAUACAUUAUCACUAAAAUCAAAAUUCAUACUUGAAUUACAAGAAAACAUACCAACAACGUGAUCUCUAACCUAUUUCACAUUGAGAUCAAAGGGAUACUAGGGACAAUGAUUUCGACAAGAACGACCCUAGUUUUUUAGUAGAUUCAUAUGAGCCUUAAGGGUAUCUUGGGAAAGGGACCAAGUUUAAUAAAACCCAUACCUUUUAUGACGUUCAAACUUCGACUUGCUGCCAAAAAACUUCUCCCAAAACCACGUCCAAAUCCGCUCAAAGUCAACACCAACUCGACGGACAAACUUAACUUUGUUUACGUGAUUGAUUUCAUUUGUUUUCUUAUAUUUUUGUUGUGAAUUCUAUAAGUUUUAAAAACUUUGGUUAACCUACUGUUUUUGGAGUUAUUUUGGCAGAGAAAACGUGAAUUAGAGUGUUAGAGACGUGAGAGAGACAUGAGUGUGGGACAGAAGAGUUUUAUUAGGCUUAGGAGUCUAUUUUAGUACUUAGUCAAAUAAUGUUUUAUUAAUUAUUAAAAAUUUGAUUUCCUUUUAUUUUAAUUCCGCUAAUAACUAAUAAACAUAAACUAAUUACAUUAAUUUACCAGCUUAAAUUAAAACAAUUUAAUUCAUUUCUUCCACCUAUGUUCGAACCCGGGUGGAGCAAGACAUCACUUCAGGAGCCAAAUGUCGGCCCUCUCUCCCUAAAAUGUCAUCCACCUUAUUUAUUAUAUUAUUUGAUUCAAUAUUUAUGGUAAUUAUGAUUCAACCCUUAGACAGGAAAAAGACCAUUUUACCCUUAGACCCUCCAAACCUAAGAUUUUCCCUUUUAAAGCCCGGUAAAGACUCCUUCAAGUAAAUAUUCAUAUUCGAGAACCCUACGUGGUUGGACCCAAGCAUUCCUAGAUCAACUAACUCCCCAAUAUAGUUAUUGGAUUUAGCAAGGGUUCUGAGGUCUAAUUCUAUGCGCAUCAAUCCGUAUGAACCCAGUCUUAUAAUUAGCAUUCUAGACACAUUAAGCAUUACUUAGAAUAUCCAUUUUUUAUGGUUUUUAUAUUUCUCCUGAAAGGGAAAUUAUCUUUGGAAUUGAUCUCCUUCUACAUACCCAGCCUAUUUCUAUUCCUCCUUAUAGAAUUGCUUCAACAAAGAUUAAGGAAUUGAAAGAGCAGUUGAAAGACCUUUAGAUAAGGGCUUCAUCAGACCUAGUAUUUCAUAAUGGGGUGCACGAAGUGUUGUUCGUAAGGAAGAAAGAUGGUUCUCUCCGAAUGAGCAUUUACUAUAGACAGUUAAACAAGAUCACAAUAAAUAAUAAGUAUCCCGUCCCUAGGAUGCAUGACUUUUUUGACCAACUAAGGGUGCUAGACAUUUCUCAAACAUAGACCUCAGAUCGGGUUAUCCUCAGUUCAAAGUCAUAGAUAGUGACAUUCCAAAAACAGCCUAUUGAACUCGGUAUUGUCAUUAUGAAUUUGUAGUUAUGUCAUUUGGACUAACUAAUUCUUCUACAACUUUCUUGGAUUCGAUGAACAGAGUGUUCAAACAGUACUUAGACUUGUUCGUUAUCGUCUUCAUUAAUGAUAUCCUCAUUUAAUCUAGGAGUGAGGAAGAAUAUGCGAGUCAUUUGAUAAUUCUUCUACAAACUCUCAAGGAUCGCCAGUUAUUCACUAAGUUUAUUAAAUGUGAGUUCUAAUUGCAUUCAUUGGUUUCCUUGGUCACAUUAUAUGUAGCGAAGGGAUUCGAGAGGAUUCACAGAAGAUAGAAGUAGUGAAACAGUGGCCUAGACCUACCUCUACUACAGAUAUUAGAAGUUUCUUAGGUAUAGCAGGUUAUUACAGAAGGUUCGUAGAAGGAUUUCAUCCAUAACCUCACUAUUGACUAAGUUGAAUUAGAAGAUGGUGAAGUUUCAAUGGUAAGAUGAUUGUGAGAAAAUCUUUGCAGAAUUGAAAAGUAGAUUGACUACAACUCCUGUCUUGACUAUACCAGACGGUUCAGAUGGUUACGUAAUCUAUUGCUAUGCAUCCAGAGUUGGCCUUGGUUGUGUGUAAAUUCAGCGAGGUAAGGUGAUAGCUUAUGUUUCUAGACAACUUAAGGUGCAUGAGAAGAACUAUCUUCCUCAUGACCUUGAGCUUACAGUAGUGGUGUUUGCACUCAAUAUAUAGAGAUACUCCUUGUAAUGUGUCCAUGUCGAUGUGUUCACUGUUCAUAAAAGCUAUCAAGUAUGUGUUCACCCAGAAAGAGUUGAAUCUUUGCUAGAGGAGAUUGCCGGAGUUCCUUAAGGAUUAUGAUAUGAGCGUGCAUUAUCAUCCUAGUAAGGCGAAUGUAGUAUCCGGUGCUCUUAGUAGAUUAUCAAUGGGUAGUGUAGCCCAUUUUUAGGAAGGAAGGAAGGAGCUAGUGAAGGAUGUUCACAUGCUUACUCGAUUGAGAGUUUGCCUUAUGAUCAUAUCAGACAGCGGUGUAGCAGUUCAGAAUGGGGUAGAAUCUUCAUUGGUAGUGGAGGUUAAGAAAAAGCAAGACAGUGACCCAAUCUUGCUUGAACUUAAGGGUACAGUCCAUAAUCAGAGAGUGGAGGUUUUCUCCCAAGGGGAAGAUGGAGUACUUUACUACUAGGGUAGAUUGUGUGUUCCUAAUGUGGGAAAGUUGAAACAACAUAUUCUUGCAGAAGCCCAUAACUCUAGGUAUUCUAUUCAUCUAGCUGCCACUAAAAUGUACGACGAUCUGCGAGAGGUCUAUUAGUGGAAUUACAUGAAGAGGGAUAUAGCAGAAUUUUUGAGAAAGUGCCCUAAUUGUCAGCAAGUCAAGGUAGAACAUCAUAAACAAGGAGAUAUGACUCAAGAGAUUGAUAUUCAUACUUGGAAGUGUAACAUGGUCAAUAUGGACUUCAUCAGAGGAUUACCUUGUACUCGCACACAGAAUGACUCAAUUUGAUUGAUAGUUGAUAGGAUGAAUAAGUCUUCUCGUUUUUUAGGGGGCAAGACUACAAAUUCGGAGGCGGAGUAUGCCAAGCUUUACAUAAAUGAAAUUGUGAGGUUGAAUGGGGUUCCUUUGUCUAUCAUCUCAGAUAGAGGUCCUCAAGUUACCUCUCAUUUCUUGGAGGCAGAUUCUCAGACUGAAGAAGCAGUGGCUACCAUUGCUGAAGUCCAGCAUCAGGAACAGCCUCAAGCUGGUGGCCCAGCCCAAGAAGCUGCUGCUCAUUUAAGAAUGGUCUUGGUACUCAAGUUAACUUUAGUACAAGAUUUCAUCCAUAGUCGGAGGGGAAGCAAGAGCAUACUAUUAGGACCAUAGAGGAUUCUUUGAGAGCUUGUGUGAUCGAUUUCAAAAGUAGUUGGGAUGAUCACCUUCGUCUUAUUAAUUUUGCCUACAAUAAUAACUACCAUUCAAGCAUUCAGAGCCCCUUAUGAGGCUUUAUAUGUGCGUAGAUUUAGAUCUCCUAUUAGUUGGUUUGAAGUAGGUGAAGCAGCUUUGUUAGGGCCUGAUUUUGUCCUUUAUGCUAUGGAGAAAGUACAACUCAUUUGAGAUAGACUUAAGACAACCCAAAGUUGUCAAAAAUCUUAUGCAAAUGUAAGGAGAAGGGAACUAGAGUUCCAUGUUGAUGAUUGUGUUUAUCUGAAAGUCACACCUAUAGGAAGGGUGAUAAAAAAUUCGAAAGAAAGAGAAACUCGGCCCUAGAUAUAUAGGACCUCACAAUAUCUUGAAAAGGGUAGGAAAGGUGGCAUAUGACCUAGAGUUGCCAGCAGAAUUAGCAACAGCAAAUCCGCUCUUCCACAUCUCAGUCUUGAAGAAGUGUGUGGGUGAUCUAGCCUCUGUGGUACCUUUAGAGAGAUUGGCAGUGAAAUAUAGUCUUUGUUAUGAGGAUAUACCAGUUGAGAUUCUUGACCGUCAGGUUUGAGGGCUGAGAAACAAAGAAAUUGCUUUAAUCAAGGUUUUGUGAAAGCCAAGUAUCAUCACCUCUUUUCUUCCAAUUCCACUCCAGCUUGAGGUAAUAGUUUCUCUUAAGUUUUAUCGUCAUUCAAGCAUAAACUCAGUCUUAUAAUCAUGUUCCCUCAGUUUGUAAUUGCAUUUUUAGCGUAUUUGCAUGUACUCGGAACUCAAUACAGUCAUAAACUGAGUUCUCUAUGUUUAGAAGUUGGGGUUUGUAUCUCUCUACCUCUAUUUCAACUAUAGAGAAAGAAUUUUCCCAAGGGGAAAUAAUCUAACACCCCGUAGCAAAAACUAAAACAAAAUCUGUUUUUUGAGAAAAUCUGAAGGUGAAACCAAUGGUGGCAUCGACGGUCCAUCAUCCAUAACCGUCAAUUGGAUCAAAAACUCCCAAAAAUUCAGAUAGGAAAAAAUUUGUUAAGUCUUGAUCAACGAACAAACCGACAGUCCGUAGUUCAAAUGACGGUGCGUAGUACAUAACCAUCGAUCGAGAUCUCCAUUCACCCACUCUCUAACAAGAGCUACGGAUGACCAUCACAAUCCGUAGGUUAAAAAUUUUCAGUUUGAUAAGGGUAAAUGCAGAUGGGUCAACUUCAAAUGGUCAUAACUCUUAUCACAAAGUGAAUUAGGUGUGCCAUGACCUACCCACAAAUAUUUUAUUAGAUUAUAUAUCCAUAGCCACCGACCUUUCUAAAAUAACACCUCCGAGUAAAAAGUUGUGCCCAUUUUAGUAAAGGUCUACCGAACAGUCCUUGAUGACAGACCUAACGAUGCGGCGUCAGGAAUAUGACGGAGCGUCAGUCCUUGCUGUUUUUUGGCCUUACAACAAUAGGUGUCUUUUCGACCUUUUCCACACUACUUAAACCCUAUGUUACGUCGUUUUGACCCUGAAUCAUCUGAAUUUAGUCACUUUAGGCCUAAAAAUAUAACAAAACAUAUCCAAUUAAAAUCAUUAAAUCAAAUGUUAGAAAACUAGAAGCAAGAAAGAAGAAAAAAAAUCAAGAACCCUAGUCCAAGAACGUAACAAGUGUCCAGCAGUUUCAGCAACAAAACUUAAGUAUUUUUCCGUGGAUUUCAUCACCAAGUAUGUGGGAUUUCACUAGUGGGUUCCUUUUACACAUUAGGUCCCUAUUUUUAAGUCAGAUUUUUGAUUCCUAUAUCAUGAUUACAAUUAGAGUUUCUAGAACUUCAACAUAACUUCAUGAACUUAUUAGUUUUAUGUUCCAAAUAAGAUUAUCAUGUGAUUAUUUAGUUUAUUAUAUGAAUUUCACAACCCUAGCUAUGUAUCUCAUUAUUUUUUGAAUUACACAUGCUAGGCCAGAUAUUUCAGACAUUUCAGAUAUGCAUGCCUCAGUUAUAAAUGCAUAAUUACCAUAUUAAUUGUUGCAUUCUCAAUUUGCUUGUGCAGUUUUGAGCUAUCCAUUACUUAUAGAAACUCAGACAUAAUAAGUUUAUUUGGAGUAGCAUAAUACCGAGUUGCACUAGGGUUCAACGUACGCAAUUAGUCCCAGAACUACUAGCCAAUAAGGUUGUAAGUCCCCUCUAUGGGAAAUCAGCUCAGUUAUCAUGCCAGCAUGCCUUUAUACCUUUGGCAGGGUUUAUAAGGUCUUCUCGGUAGGGUGUAUAAAUCAGACUCCACAUUUAGCUAAUGUGGUUUUAUUUUCGGUUAUUAGUAGCUCCCACAGAUCAGUGAGAGUGUUUGCAUUGACCAUUUAUCAGUAUAUUUAGUAUUAAGUCUUAUCAUGUUAUAAAUGGGUCAUUGCAUCCAGUUAACUCAUAUUCAGUAUACUUGCUAUUUUUUUUGUUCAGUUAUAUUUUGUUUCAGCUUUAUCUAUCCUACAUGCUUAGUACCUUUCAUGUACUGAGGCAUACAUGCACUACAGCUUCUCGUGAUGUAGGUUCAGGUUCUCAACAUCCUAACCACGCAUAGCUUGAAUUCCAGAUCACUAGUUCAGCAGAUUCAGUCGUGAGUCCUCAUUCUCUGAGGAAAAUAGUCAUGAAUUUCAUUUCAGUGUUUAGUAAUUUAGUUUCACUUUUUGCUAGAUUUAGCUGGGCAGUCUAGUUUAGAGGCAAUUUUCAAACAUAGUUAGUUUAAGCUUAGUAGUGAGUUAAUAUUAAUUUGUAUUAAAAUAAUUGUUUUCAAAUAUCUCAGUUAUAUUAUGAUUAAGCUUCCGCAACACUUUAUUAUUCUUUAGUAUGCUUAUGAUCAUGCCAGCAGGGUUUGCUUUGGACCACUUGUGGUCAUAGAUUAUGUUUUCGUGUCUCCAAUGUAGCUGGGGGCGUGACAAUCAGUAUCCAAUGCAUCAUUGAUCUAGUUUAGUGUUUAGAGAUAGUUGGUGAACCUCCUUGAUUUUUAAAGAAAUCCCUUGGUAUCAUUAGUUGUUUAGUAUUACAUUUGUUAGGAUGAUUGGAAAUCUUGUCCCGGUGUGAAUCUUAAAUUAUUUAAGAGGUUUGAUAGAUAGUUAGAUGUUACUUAUUUAGUUUGUUCAUUGUCAUUAUCUUAAGUUGAGAUUUGAGUUUUCCUUGAUGGCCAGUUGAAUGUAAAUUUAUUUUUUAUUAGUUUAAUAUUUUGGUAGUAUGUAAGUCAAGUAAAGAUUUCUCAUGGGGACUAUAAUAGUUCUCGAGCGCUAGUCCCACUUGGGUGUAGGAUCGGGGAGUGAAAAAUUAGUAUCACAGAACUGAGUUAGAUAGUCCUAAGUAUAAUACGACGCCAUUUCUUUAGAGUUUUAGUUAUCGGUUUGAAGCACACCACAUUUAUAGUUAAGAAGUUACAAAACUCAGGGAAAUCUCUCACUUCUUUCAUAUUCAUUUCAUGCGUAAGAAUUUAAUCUUUAAUAAGGUUUCUUAUAAUUUUUGCUUGAACGCAUUUUCUAAUAAUCACUCCUCCAUGAAGAUUUGUCAAAGGGUGUCUUGCUAGGCGUAAUGUUGAAGAGCAACAAGGGUACCUCAUGUAACUGAAGUUCAACCCAAAGAUAUGUUACUUAUGUCGAAUUUGAAGAAGCAAUAAGGAUGAUGAGUAAAGUUGUGACUAACCAUGUUGGGCAGGAAAAAGUAGUUUGACAAUAAGCGACGGACAUUUCGAGAAUUCUUGAGUUCUUAAGGAUAAACCCUCCAUGUUUCUCUAGUUCAAGAACUACUGAGAAUCCAAAGAACAUUAUUGAGGAGCAGCAAAAGAGAUUUGAUGUCAUGAACGUUAAUGAUAGAUAAAAGGUAGACCUAGCUACAUAACAAAUGAAGGAUGUUGCGAGAAUUUGGUUUGAUCAAUGGAAGAAGAAUCGAGUUGAGGAUGCACCACUUGCUAGUUAGGCUUCUUUCUAGAAGGUUGUCACACCCCGAGCUAUCCUCGAGAUGCGUACACUAAACCUAGGACCAUACGUGAUCCCAAGCAAACCCUACUGGCAUGAUCAUGAGCAUACUAAAGAAUAUAAAUAAUUGCGAAAGCUAAAUUGUACUUAAAUUGAAAAGAUGGGGAAUACAUAUAUGCUAAAACUUAAAUAUUUGAAAACAAUGAGUAUAAUAUAAAGGAAAUAUUAACUCAAUACAAAUAUGAAACUAUCUUAAUAAAUAGCCUCUAAAGUAGACUAGAAACACUUGGAAAAGUCCCAGCUAAUUCUUGCAAAAAUUGAAACUAAAAGACUAAAUACUGAAAAACAAACUCAUGACUAUUGUCCUAUGAGAAUAAGGACUACCACUAAAUAUGCUGAACUGAAGCUCAAAAAAUUAUCUAUGCAUGAUAUGUGUGCUGAAAACCUAAACCUACAUCACUAGAAGAUGUGGCGCAUGUAUGUGUCAGUAAUUGAAAGGUAUUGAGAAUUUAGGAUACAAUAAAGUUGAAAUAAAUAAUAAAUGAACAACUACAAAAGCAAGUAUAAUAAUAUGAACAUGAUAGAGAGAAUUUUGAGGUAACUGAAUUCAAUGACAAAUUUAUAACAUGCUGAAACUAAAUACUGAGUAUACUGUGAAAUGGUCAAUGCAAGAGAGUCUAAUUGAACUGUGGGAGCUACUACUAACCGAUAAGAAUGCCACAUGAGCUAAUUGUGGAGUCCGAUGUAUACGCCCCAUCGAGAGGACCCAAUAUACCCUGCCAAAGGUGUAAAUGCAUGCUGGCAUGAUCAUUACACUUAUUACCUAGAGAGGGGACUUACAACUUACAUGGCUAGUAGUUCUGGGAAUAAUUGGGAAUGCUGAACCCUAGUCUAACUCGGUAUUAUGCUACUCCCAUUGAUUUAUGUAUUUAACUUAUUAUGUCUGUAUCUUCUAUAGUUACUUGAUAGCUCAAAACUAAACAUGCAAACUGAGAGUGCAACAAAUCUUAUAAUGAUGCAUUAAAAGCUGAGGCAUGUAUAACUGAAUAGGUGAAAAAUAUAACCUAGCAAGUGUAAUGCAAGAACUAUAUAAUUAAAAAACUAGGGUUCUGAAAUUCAUGCGAUAAACUAAAUAAUAACUUUACAAUCUUAUUUGGAACAUAUAUUUAAUAAAUUCAUGAAUUUCUUGAAAUCCUAAGUUUAAUCAUGAUAAAAUAUCAAGAACUGACUGAAAACUAGGGACUCAAUGGGUGAAAGAAUUCCUCUAAUGAAAUCCUACAUAGUUGGUGAUGAAAUUCAUGGAGAAACACUUAAAUUUUGAGGCUGCAACAUAUUGAAAUUUCAUGCGUUCUUGAACUAGGUUUCUUAACCUUUUUCUCCUUUCUUGCUUCUAAUUUGCUAUGUUUUGAUUUAAUGAAUGACAUUAGUAAGUUUUAGUUAAGUUUCUAGGAUUAUUUGACUAAAAUAAGAUGAUUUAGGGUCAAAACAACGUAUCUUAGGGUUUAAAGAAAGUGGGAAAAGACCAAAAGUCCCCUAGGUUAAUUGCUGUUGGACCAAAUGACGACUUGGAUAGACGGUCCGUCAUUUGGUUCGUAGGUUGCGCCUUUUCGAUAUGCUUUUACUAAAACGGGCAUAAAUUUUUACUCUGAGGUUAGAUAUUUACAAACUCGGUGUCUACGUAAAUAUAAUUCAAUUAUCUAACUUUCGAUAGGUUAUGGGACACCUAAUUCAUUUUGUGCUAAGGUGCUAUGAUCAUUUGUAUUUUACCCAACUUCAUUCCCCCCCUAACUGUCUGCUAAGUUCAACCUAUGGUAAGACGUAUGCCCCGUAGGUCCAUAUACAGACCGUGCUGGUCAAUCGUGGUUCUUCUUAGAUAGUAGGUGAAUGAAGUGUUAAUUGACGGACGCAGACUACGGCCCGUAGUCUAACCUACGGACUACAAGUCCGUCUGUCGUUCAACACUUAGUCAAAUUUUUUUGAUUGAGAUUGUGGGUGCUUUCUGACACAAUCAAGGGAUAUGCAGGACAGACCAUGAGUUAGGCUAUGGUCCGUCGAUGGACACCGUCUCUUGUACCAGUAGAUUUUAUGAAAAAACUAGUUGUGAUCUAUUUAUCAUAGGGGUGUUACAUUAUCGCUCCCUUGGUAACAUCCAUCCUCAAAUGAAGACUAAACUAGAUAGAAUAAAGGAAGACAGCUGCAAACCCUACUACUAAACACUGAGAACUGACUUUCUAACUGAAUUGAGUUCCCAGAACAUGCAAGUGUACGACGUAGUUACUGGAUCCUAGUCUGAUGAGGAGCGCACACUGAUCGGCACACCUUCUGGGUCAGCUACACAUGAAAAAGGAGUGUCUGGUUCCUUAGGAGUUUCGUGGUCAGAGGAAGCCUCCGGGUCCGCAGAAUUCCCUACACCUACCACAGCUGCACAGUCUGCCUCGUCUGAUAAGGCUGAUAGCACUAAUUCCACUCUAGGCUCACCGAAUUGUGUUCUCACCCUGGUUGCUGACCAGCCCAACAAGUGGUAUGUCGACGGGCAAUAUCAAGUUUAUUCAGAUGCUAUGUUUCUAAAUGAUAAAGGCGUCAUGACACGAACCCUUACAUUGGAAAGGCGGGUCCUUACGGGAGGUCUCCCCACCAUGCAAGAUAUCCACAAUCUCUUUACCAAACACUGGCUAGAGUGGACAACUCGUUCUUUGGGAAACUACAUUGAGAAGUUGGCCUGAGAGUUUUACGCCUCUUAUGUGGCUACACUUCGAUGAUAGAUCGAUAGGAGGGCUGCCCCCGCCAAAAAGGCCCCACUUUAGCACAUCAGAGUAAUGCGGAAUACAGGUCGACAUCUCCCUACCUUCCAUCAACAUCAAUCUGUAUGGCGAGGGUGUUAAUGGCAAUAGGACCCCUCUAACCGCCGAGUUCGACUACCGGUUGAAAAUUGUUAAUGAUGGCCAAUUCUUCCGUGAGCCAUCGGUGAGAGAUACCACCAAGAGGUGAAUGGACUUGCACUUAUCUAUUGAUUGAGAGGGUGACUGCUAGGUAACGAAGCCUAAAGGAGCCAUUAGGAAGGUUUAAGUGACCUUCACGGCUAUGUUUUUAUGGUUGAUUGUCUGCCACUGCCUUUCCCCACAGCUGUUGAUAAUAUAGUUAAAUGGGAUUGCUCAUUUAUGAUGGCGGCGAUGAUAGCCAGGUUUAAGGUGGACUUUGCUUGGCUUCUACAGGUGGUCAUGCACGAGAGGCCUUUCAAGGUCACCACUACUUACCCUUUUCCGUGCAUGAUAUUUUCCUUAUGCAGGUCCGCAGGUGUGCCCAUCUGGCACAUUGAUCAUCUCAAGACUCCGAUGGGCAGUGUUGAUAUCGGCCUCAUCAAGGAUGAGGCCAAUAAAAUGGCUCCUCCCACAGGGCCCCAUCGAUAGUUGCCUCUACUUAGUGAAAAUAUGGCUGAUACGGUAGCACAUAAUCAAAUGGCUACACAGGAUACUUCAUCGACCACUGACACUACCCCGGUCGAGUCUAUCCCAGGUAGUAGCACUGCCCCAAGCUCCUCUCGCUCAUCCCCUUUCCCCGCUCUGGUCCCGCAUGUUAGGGUUCAGAAUGUAGAGGCUUAGAUGCCCACACUUCUGUAUCACAUCCAUCCUUUGAUGCAGAGGCCUAAUGCUGAGGCGGAGGAGUGCUUGGAGCGUAAAAUGGCACAGGACGCAGAGCGGAAGAUCGCUGAGGUUCAUCAGCGCUUAGACGCUUUUAAGUUACAGGUGCUAACCCGGCCAGCCCCUCCGGUGGACAUGUCGACCGUUCAGGCUGUGGUAGAGAGUCUGCAAAUAGAUAUUGAUAUGAUUCUAGAGGCUAGGGUGUCUGAGUCUGAGGCCCCUUCUGCAGAGCUUGCUGAGGACACAGUGUUGGCGGCUUUAUUCGCCACUUAUGAGAUUUCACCACCUCCCCCUCGAGAUCAUGAGAAGAGGCGUAGGAGUCAAGACAAGUAUGAGGCUACAACAAGAAAGACGGAGCACCGUGAGGGGGAGGCUGGGAGGAGAUCCUUGAUUGGUGAUGAGGAGGCGUGUCAGAUCAGGGCUUUAGAGUUAGCUGCUGGGGUAUCUAGCUCUAGGGAGGCAGAGACAGCAGGAGGCACUUCUGAUAGUGUUGUUGCUGAUAAGGAAACUACUGAGGGUGUCCAGACUACAUAGGUAGUGGUUACAGGAAACCGGACCCACCAUCUUGCGGAUCAUUGGCGCUUUGCGCCCCCAGUUUGCUUCACCUACCACUAUCGUAUUUCAAUUUUUUUAUGCAUUGGGGAGAAUUGCAUAUCUUUUUGUUGGGGUGGGUUAAAUGGAAAAUGAGUGCUAGGGUGAUGUCUGAGUAGCCUAAUUCAUGAUCGUCUUUUGGGGUUUUCUUGCCUGUGUUCUUUUUCCCUAUGAGACUGAUUAUUUUUAUUGUUGAACCGGCAUGUCUAUAUCUUGUGUACAUAGUAUAACUCUGAAGCAUGAUAGCUAAAACAAAAAUGAUAUCGUGAUGUAAUGUAAAUUAUGCAUGGAUAGGCACAAUAAUUGAUAAAUGUGUGGCUCUAAGCAUGACAUAGAGAUACAUCACUGUAUGACCCUUAGUCUAAGACUUGAACUAGGUGUCUGAUAAUCUGGUUGAGUAAUAUAAUGUCAACUGAGUGUGAGAAAAAUUUUAAUAGUCUACUAUUUGAACUGAUGUACAACUUUCUUGGUUAGUCCUACUAAAAGUAAGCUCUAAUAGACAAUUAGGAAAGGAUCAUAGGCCCUUGUUUAAUAUAGCAAAUUUUUAGCCUAAAAAAAUAAAGUAAAAAAAGUAAUGAAAUCAAUCCCUCUUUGAUCCAAAUGAUUUGAGCUUAAAAUAGACCUUUCUUUUUCACCCCAACUUAUCUUUUUUGGGAAUAAUGUGUUGGCCCUGGACUCUUCUUGGACAUGUGCACCUCAGCUUAUGCCAAAUGCAUAAGUUGAGGGUGGCUAAUACAGUAAACCAACUUUUCAUGGCCCUGACCCAAAUUUGGGUAUUUUCUACUUUGACUCAUGGCAAAGCCAUAAGUUUAGGGUGGAUAUUAUGAGGAAUGUUCUGGAAAGUGGGGUUGAAAGAAAAAAGAUAGAGAAAGAACAAAAGUAAAGUGAAUCAAGAACAAGUUGAAAGAAAAGUGAAAUCAAAAAAUUAUAAUAAAUACAAGAAAUAAAAGAAAAGAGUAACUUACACAAAUUAAGAAGGAAAGGAAAAUAGCAGGGAGAAAGAAUAUGAGAAAUUGGCCAAAAUAAAACGAUUAAAAGUGAUAUGUUUAGCUGAUAUUCAAGGAGGACAAAAAGUCACUUAAGUAUAACUAAAUGUACCCUACCUGAUCCUGAGCCUACGUUACAAGCUAAGAAAGUCCUAUGUGAUCCUAAGAGUUGUAUGGCGAACUUAAAGCAGUGAAAAUAAGGGCAAGCUUAUGGCAAUAUGUAUGAAUGAGUUUUGAAUUUUUUCUGAGAGUGGGUGUUUAAAAGUAAUCCUUAUACUCAAACUGAAAUCAUUAUGUAAAAAAGGAGGAUGUUGUUUUGAAGUUAGGACACUAGUUGCAAUACUGGAAAUAUUAACACCUCAGUGAGAAAUUGAAGAGGAUAGGUGUCAGUGAGUGGUGAGUCUAUGUCAUGGUAUGAUUCCACAUAAUUCAAACAUAAUAGUGAUAACAUGCAGAAACAUGAUGAAACUUAUUGGGAUUGAUAGCCAAAUGAUUACGAAAGCUAAAAUAUGGAUACUAUUAUACAAAGAAUUUGUAGUGAGUCGUCUUGCGUUGCUUGAGGACAAACAAAGAAUUUAAGUUGAGGGUGUUAAUGUACUGUGGUUUCAUGGUAUUUGUUAUGUGUUUUUCUUAACUUGAUUAUGUGUCCAAAAUCCUUUUUGUAUUGAUUUUUAUGUAAGUUUCUCCUUAUAUGUAGGAAAUCUAUCCAAAGAUGAACACGGAUGUUUUUUAGCAAAAUAAUAUAGAAAAGGCCACCUACAGAGCUUAUGACGGUCGUUUAAGCCUGUGAUGGUCAUUAGGUGGCAUCUUAGUGAAGCUGCUGAUGGAAGAUGGGGAAGUCUGACUUAGUGUGGGAUUACGGAAGUCCACGACGGACCGUCAUGGCCACGACAGUCCGUCCUGCUGGUUCUUCGCAAUUAUCAGAGAGUUGUCUCAGUACCCAAAAUCCAAGAAGUUUAAGUAUUAUGGAACAGAGACCCACGACGGACCGUUAUGAUUGGAACGGUCCGUCAUACCUGUCCAUUGAGGGUAAUGAAGAAAGCAGCAGAAGAAUUUGUGAAGUAUGGGAUAACGGAAGCCAUGACGACUCGUCGUGACCAAGAAGGUCCGUCACGAGGUUCGUCGACCCAGACACGUUUUGACAGAUUUUUAGUAAUGACAAUCCUUCUCUUAUUAUUUUUUUUAAUUAUUAAUAGUUCAAAAAAACUCGUUUUGGGGGUUAGACUCUUUGAUAGUAGACUUUUCAAUAGUUAGAGUUUUUUAAUAAUCUUUAGUUGUCGUGUUCAAGUAUUGAAGGAUUGAUUUCAGUAAGUGAUACACUUUUUAUGGAAUUUAUUGUUGGUGCUUUUGUUUAUUAAUCAAGUGAAUUUUUGGAUUUUAUUCUUUCUCAUUAAAGUAAGUUCAUGAAUUCUUAUAUUAAAUAUAUGAAUAGUGUGAUUAUGAUUGUGGGUAACUAAACUGCAUAACUAGGAUUCUGGGAACCAUGGGUGAAUAAUGAGGUAAAAUCUAACUAAAAUAGCAAUUCUAAUAUAGUGUCUUCCAUGUAUUGAUAAUUCUUUCGUUUAGAAGUCUUUUUAACCGAUGGCUUACGUUAGAACUCGCCUUAAUGUUACUUUCCAGGCAAAGGAGGUAGAUAAUAGGAAAAGAAUUAUCAACAUAGAUUUAGUGUACACUAACUAAUAGGCUAGUGUCGAUUGGUACGAGGUAAUAACUUAGUCAAACAUCGAAUACAAUGCUUCAUAUGUGGUAAAGGUAAGGGUUAGUAUAGUAACACACGUAGCUGGACCAAGGUGCGGAGUAAAAUAUUUUAGAUGCCGGACGAAGAAUUUAUAGAUACAUAACUUAUCACUUUACAUGCAAGAUACUAGGAAAGAAUUGUUAUCGUUAGAAUUAUCAAGUUAGGAACCUGUGGGGAACAAUUAAGCCCUAGUUACUUUUAUUACUUGAUUAAGCUCCAAGAUUUAUAUCUGUUAAUUGUUUACUUUAAUUUAGUUAAUUACUUUCAUUAGUUUAGAAAUAGAAAUCCCCUCUUUAUUGUCUUUUUUUUCUAGGAAAAUAAUUAGCUAAAUAAUAGUAAUAAUAGGAUAAAGUUAAGUCUGAACUAGUUUCCUCGUGGGUACGAUCCCAACCUCAUUAUUUGGAUUCUUUACCUGAUACGACCGCUUUACUUCUUAUUUAAGAGGUAAGUCUGAGCGUAUCAGUAUCCACAUCUCUUUGACAUCAUAGAAGUUCCAGAUCAAGGUAAUAUUUCAAUUUGUAGUUCUCUAUAUUUAUAUACUUGAAGUGUUAAAUUUUCUUGUUGGUUGUUUGAACUAAGUUAUUGAUACUAUCAGGCAGUUCAGGUCAUAAACUCUUGCAAGGUUAGGAUGUCUGGCAAGAUAGGCCGAGUAACGUUGUAUCAUUACUAUAGCUCUUAACUGAUGAUUGUUGGUUAGAGAAGCUACCACAAAAGAAUUGUACUUUCGUACACAGUAGUUAUUUAUAUUAUUACUAUGCCUCAUAUAUUAUUUUUAUACUUAUAUACAUUCCGAAUUUAUAACGUGUUUCAGUCAGCUUUUCUUUAUAUUGCAUUUAAUUUUAAACUUGAUAUAUUAACUAAGAGCUAGUAAAUUAUGAGUUAAAAAGAGACAAAGUAAGUGUUCUUUAUUAAUCCAUUUCAAGCUUAAAUGACAUCUAGCAUUCCCACUCGCAUACUCGUACAUUCAAUGUACUGAUGCCAGUUGGUAUACAUCCUAUUAUGGUGCAUACGAAGGAAACGAGGAUCAACAUCCAUCGCACCAUUGAUACAACUAGGCAUCCCUGAGUUAGUUGACCAGCCUCCUAGUAUUCCGAAAGAAAUCUUUUAUAGAUUUUUAGUUAGUUCGAUAGAUGUUUUGGGAUUUGUCCAAAUAUUCAUCUCAAAUAGUUUAGAGACUUCAUAGAUAGUUAGUAGUGCAAUAGUUUUUACCUUUUAAUUAUUAUGUUCAACACCUGGAUUGCCAUUAUGGACAUGUUUAAUGUUUAAAUCUAUCAAGACAUUCCAAUUUAUUUUUGUAUGCAGUUGAGAUAAAUUGUGUUAGCAUUAUACGUAUUAUUUUUUUCUUCCAAUGAAUUAAGUAAGUCAGACCAAGGGUUCGCUCGAGGCCAAUAAUGGUCGCCGUGUGCCUGUUCCGCCCAGGGUGUAGGCUUGGGGCAAAAUAAUCUUGGUAUCUGAGAAUAGAGUUCAAUUGUUAUAAAGAGUCUAUGAAUCUAUGUUUGUAGAGUCUUAGUCAUUGUUGUGCAGCACACCUCAUCUAUGAUCAGGAGGCUAGAAAAUUUAGGAAUUUCUUACUUCUUUCAUACUCAUUUUAUACUUUGGAAUUUAUCUCUAAAACAUUCCCUAUUCUUCGUGCUUGUGUAUGUUUUAAAUUAUCAUGCCUUCACAAAGCGCAGUUAGAGGUCGUCCAUCCAGAAGAAAUGUAUAAGAGCCAGAGCUACAUAAUGCACCCAAUGUGCAACCUCAAGGGGAAGUUAAUAAUGCUAAAUUCUUUUAGGUUCUCUUGAUGUUUAGUCAAGAUGUGACCAAACAAGUAAGGCAACAAAGAGGAGCUCGACAAGAGAGGGCUAAUACUUUGAGAAUUCGGGAAUCCUUAGGGAUGAAUCCCCAAUGCUUCACUGGUUCAAGCACCAUUGACAAUCCAGAAAACUUUGUAGAAAAGUUGAAAAAGGUAUUUGAUGUGAUGCAUGUUGUUUUUGUUGAGAGAGUCAAACUAGAUGCAUACCAACUCAAGAAUGUUUCUAGGUUUGGAACAACCAGUGGAAGGAGGGUAGAGGUGAGGAUGAACCACACCCGAGUAGGGGUUGCUUUGAAGAAGGUUUAUUAGGGAAUUUCUUUCCCUAGGAACUGAAGAAGGAAAGGCAAAGGAGGUCCCUAUUUAGAAACAAUAUUCCUGAAGCAUUCAUGAGUGUGGGCUCGUGAGAUGGUUAAAAAUGUGAAGAGCAUAAUAAACUUGUUUGUUCCUAGCUUGGGUCGCACUUCAAGCAUUGAAGGUUGAGAUACAAUGUUUAUUGGGUACAUGAACAUUUCAAGGUUAAUGGUCUUUGUAAAGUAGGUAUGGGAAAACAAGCAUAAGGAUACAGAGGAGUUCAUAAGAAAGAGAGCUAAUAUAGGGGAUUAUUCCGGGCUGCACAAGAAUGAUGCUCACUGAUAAUUCUUCCAAAAAAAACAAAAGGGUCCUGCUACAUCCUAUUCUAGUUAACCUAUACCUGAGAAGAAGUAUGAGCAUUAUGGGAAAACUUCCUGAUUUAAACCUUCAUAUUCUCAAGGUAGUGUAGCGCACAGAGGUAGUAAGACUCUGGCAUGUGCCAAGUGUGGCAGAAAUCACUCCCGUAUCUGUUUCAAAUAAUAUUAAAUUGGGCAUUUCAUGAAAAAGUGUCCAAGGAGGAAGAAAGUUGGGUUUAAUGAGGGUAAUGGAGCUAAUUGUCAUCAGCUUCUCCACAAGACAAGAGUGCACCUGGGGAAGCUUCUUCUGGUGCUGGCGGAGGAAUAAACCACUUAUAUGCUCUCCAUAAUCGUCAGGAACAGAAGAAUUCAGCAGAUAUUGUACCUGGUAUGAUUCGAGUCUUUGAAUUUAGUGUUUAUGCAAUAUUAGACCGAGGAGCGAGUUUAUAUUUUGUAAUGCUCUACGUUUCUAUCAACUUUGAAAUUAUUCCUAAGCAACUUAGCGAACCAUUCAGUGUUUCCACAUUGUUGGUGAAUCCAUUCUUGCAGAAAGAGUCUAUCAUGAUUGUCCUAUUUUCUUCAGUCACAAGAAUAUCAUUGCUGAUUUGAUAGAUUUAAACAGGGUAGAUGUUUAUGUCAUUCUAGGUAUGGACUGGCUCCAUACGUAUUAUGCAUAAAUAAAUUGCAAAACUCAAGUUUUCAUGCUUAAAAUUCCGAAUGAGUAAGUCAUAGAGUGGAGUAGUAGUUCAACACUUCCUAAGUGACAUUUCAUGUAGUGACUUAAGGCAAGAAAGUUAGUUUGUAAGGGUUUUAUCUAUCAUUUAUUCCGAGAUAACUACUCAGGUGCUGAGGUUCCUUCCCUUCAUCUAAAUUCCUACAGUCAGUGAGUUUCCAGAAGUAUUUCGUAAUGAUCUACCCAAAGUCCCUCCUGAGAGAGAAACAGACUUUGGUAUAUACAUCAUCCCAGGUAUGCUUCCUAUCUCUAUUCCGCAAUAAAGAAACAUACCAACAUAGUUAAAAGAUCUAAAGAAAAAUAGAAUGAAUUAUUUUAUAAGGGCUUUAUUCGACCAUGUAUCUCACUUUAGGGCGCUCCAGGCUUAUUUGUGAGAAAGAAAGAUAGUUCCCCUAGGAUGUGUAUAGAUUAGCUAAUUUAAUAAGGUGACCAUCAAGAAUAAGUAUCCUCUUUAAAUGAUAGAUGAUCUUUUUGAUCAAUUCAGGGUGCAUCUUGCUUCUCGAAAAGCGAUCUCAGAUUGGCCUACAAUCAAUUGAUUGUUUGGGAAUGUGAUAUUCCAAAGAUAACGUAUUAGAACCACAUAUGGGCACUAUGUGUUUCAGUUUAUGUCCUUUUGUUUGACAAACGCACCUGCAUCAUUCAUGGAUCUUAUGAAAAGAGUCUUCAAAGCUUAUUUAAAUUUGUUUGUACGAAGAUCAUGCUUGUUACCUCUGGAUAGUUCGUCAUACUUUGAGAAAAAAAGAGUUAUAUGCCAUGUUCUACAAUGUGAGUUUUGGCUUUAAUCUGUUGCAUCUUGCGCCACAUAGUUUCUGGUUAUAGGAUUAUAGUUGAUACCCAAAAGAUAGAUGCAUUCCAGAGUUGGCCUAGACCCACGUCUCUAACCUAUAUAAGGAGUUUCUUGGGUGUCGCUUGCUACUACAGAAGAUUUGUAGAGGGGUUAUCAUCUAUAUCUUCUCCUUUGACCAAUCUAACUUAGAAGACAGUUAUGUUUCAAAGAUCUGAAGAUUGUGAGAAAAUGUUUUAGGUAAUGAACAAUAGGUUAAUUACUACUUAACUUCACCGGAGGGUACUCAAGGAUUUUUGGUGUAUUGUGAUGCAUCUAGGGAAGGUUUGGGAUGUGUGUUGAUGCAAAAUGACAAGGUUAUAACUUAUGCCUCCAGACAAUUGAUGAUUCAAGAGAGAAAUUAUCUAACUGAUGACCUAGAAUUGGAUGCAGUAGUUUUUGCUUUGAUGAUAUUACUCCACUAAUUGUAUAGUGUUCAUGUAGACAUAUUUACUAACACAAGAGCCUCCAAUAUGUGUUUACAGAGAAAACACUAAAUAUCAAACACAGGAGGUGGUUGAAAUUACUUAAGGAUUACGACAUUAGUAUUAUUUACCACUCUGGUAAGGCUAAUGCGGUUGCUGAUGCAUUAACGAGGUCAUCUAUAGGAAGUGUUUCCCAUGUUUAAAAAGGAAAGAGAGUGUUAGCAAAAUAUGUGCACAGACUUAUACGUUUGGGAUUAAGACUUAUGGAUUCCACAUUAGGAGGUAUAGUGGGUACUAAUGAGGUUGAGUAAUUGUUAGUGUCAGAGGUGAAAAAGAAACAGGCCAAGACCCCACUUUUCUUUAUUUAAAGGUGAACGUUUAUAAGAAUAGUGUUAUAGAUUUUGAAAGAUGGAGAGAUGGUGUGCUAAAGUAUCAAGGUAGUUUGUGUACUUAAGGUGGAUGAACUUUGAAAGAGAAUCAUAAAGGAAGAUUAUAGCUCCAGAUAUUCCACGCAUAUAGCUUCUACAAAGAUCUACCGAGACUUGGGAGAGGUAUACUGGUGGGAGGGUAUGAAGAAAGAUAAUUAUAUGUUGUACAUUCAAGAGGUGGUGAAACUUCAUGGAGUUCCGGUCUCCAUUAUUUUCAAAUAGAUGUGCACAGUUUAAUCACUCCUAUUCAUCCUCGGACGGAUUGGAUUGGUGGGUAAAAGUGUGUACUAUCGAUGAAUUAUAAAUAUAUAUGUUAAGAUCUUGUGUUAUCUACUUCAAAGGGAAUUGGGAUGAUCACAUACCUAUCAUUGAGUUAGCUUACAACAACAAUUACCAUUUGAGCAUCCAAACGGCUCAAUGUAAGGCUCUUUGUGGGAGAAGGUGGACUUCUCUUACUGGAUAGUUCGAAGUUGGUCAAUCAAGGUUAAUAGGACUACACUUAGUUUACCAAGACAUGGAGAAAUUUAAAGUGUUUAAAAAGAGAUUGAAAUAGACACAGAGUUGCCAAAAGUCCUACACAUAGUUAGGAGAAGGCCGUUAGAAUUUGAGGUGGAUGAUUGGUAGUAUCUGAAAGUUUCAGCCAUGGAGGUGGUUAUGAGGUUUGUUAAGAAGGAAAAACUUAGUCCCCGGUAUAUUGGUCCUUACAGAAUUUCCAAGAGAGUUAGGAAUGUAGCAUAUGAGUUGGAGUUACCCAAAGAGUUAGAAUAGUUCAUUCGGUAUUCCAUGCAUCUAUGUCAAAGAAAUGCUUGGGUAAUCCUUUAUUAAUUGUACCAACUGAGAAUGUUGGGAUUAAGCAUAAGUUAUUCUAUGGGGAGAUUCCGGUUCAAGUUUUUGAUCAUCAACUUUGCAAGUUGAUAACAAAGAAAGUGGCAUGGAUCAAAGUUCUUUGAAGGAAUCAGUUUAUUAAAGAAAAAACUUGGGAAGAUGAGGAGGAUAUGAAUAAGAGAUAUACACAUCUCUUUGAAUUAGGAGAUAAUGCAGAUGAAGGUGUUAAAUUCUCUUCUUAGCGCUUUAUAAGACUAUGUGCAAUGAGGUUAUUAUUUGCUCUUGUUAUUGAGUGCUGAAAUGAUGUCAGUACCCUUACCUUAGUGAAAGAUUUCUCAUUCGAAGACACAUGUUCCCAAGGGAGAAAUAUUGUAAAAUUUUGUAACUUGAAAUAACUAAAAAUAAGCUAAUAAACCAAGAAUAAUUAUUUCUUUAAAUAAAUAAGGAAAAAUCAGGAAAACUCCAAGUUUUAAAAAUGUGAAUUAUGGUCAUUUUAAAAUGUCCAUAACUCUAUGAUCAUGAAUAGUUCGGGUGAUUUCUUUAAAUGGUUGGAAUUACCUUGGGAAGAUCUUUGUAACGGCGUCGAGUUUGUGCAUUUUCAAGUUCGUAUGAGGGACAUAUGCCUUUCGGAUGUUGGAUUGUUGGACUGAGGAGAAUAUAAUCCAAAUUUUAGGAAGGCAAAGUAGUAUUUUCAUGGUAGUAUGCCUAAUUAAUUUUACAUGUUUAUUAGGGGUAAAACCAAGUCCAAAUUCUGUUUUUAAAAAGUUGAGAACCCUUACGCUUGGGGAGAAAAAAGAAGAGAAGAAAAAAAUUUAUAGAUUCUUCAAGAACACUAAGGUUUCACUAGAAAAAUUCGUCGGGGGUAAUCACUAUCGAGGUAUGUUAGAUUUUCUCUGUUGGUUCGUUCACCCACACACUAGUAUGUUUAAUUCAUCAUGUUUUGUAUUUAUUGAAUGAUGAGUCUUUAAAUUGUUGAUGAACAAUUGGUGAAACCUUGUUUGUAGAGGUGUAGUGUACUUUUAGUGGUUUUUAUUCUUGUUUUCAAGCUGUUUUAUGAGUCUAAACUAUUGGAUAUUGAGGAUAUUAGUGAUUCUAAGUUUUUAGGCAAAGUUCUAUGGAAAUUUGGGGGGUUUUGAGUGGAAAAUUGGAGAAGAAAAAUCAGAAAACCCGUCUGAAAGGCCCCUAGGGCGCCGCUCCUAGAAGAGACCCUAAAAGAAGAUGUUGUCCAUCAAGAUGUGGGACGCCACGCCAGCCAUAGUGGCUGAGAACAUUGUCUGUCCGUCAGGCUGUGGAGCUCUGUGCCUCUAAGAGCACCAAGGUCACCUGGAGACCCCAUUCUUUCCCUAUCUUUCCAUAGUAGUUUCUAAGUGAUGUACCCACAUUUCAUUGUUGAUUCAAACACUCUUAAGUACAUCUAAACAUGAUGAUUUCAUAUAUAAACAAGAGAUCAUAAUCCUUGAAUCCAUAAUCAAAUUCAAGGAAAGUUAAAAUCAAAGUCAACAAAGUUAAAAGUCAAGUCUCAAAGCUAAAAAGAAUGUCAAAGUUAGUUCUUAAAGUUUCCAAGAGUCUUUAAAAAACCUUUUUAAAUUUGUUUUAUGACUCAAUUUACAAGUUAAGCAAGAGUAAAUAGUUGUGUGCAAACUAAAAAGUUAUAACGGGACUAUGUAAUCCUUAAGAGUUACAAAGGUUUUUAUAUUUAAGAAGUACAGAGCCUUCGGGAUAGUUUUUAGACAGAAGUAAUAGCUUUAUGAAAUAAAUAAAGCAGGGAAACUAUUAUUUCCAUGAGAUCUAUUUAAAGUUAGUUUUUGAGCAAAGUCUAGCUCUAGUAUAUGCAAAGUAGACAGAGCCGAGGGGAACAAUUGACACCUUACGAUCCUGAACUAAAUUGAACUUUGAGGGGAAUGGAGAAUCAAGGGGUCCUAGUCAACCCGAACCAAGGGAGUCUAGGUGAUGGAGAAGGUGUGUAGCCUCAAAUACUCUUUAGUGCAAAAAAACAGGCACCCAUUGGAAGACAAUUAGGAGAUGCUUUGAGAUUGUAACCUUCAGCAGCCCCAUGACCUUAGGAAACAUUGUUGAUUCUAAUGGACCUCUUGUACUACCCAAUUUUCCUCCGGGGCACACAUUCGUGGUGACGAGUAACCUGAUGCAAAUUCUCACCGCGAGGGGUUUAUUAUGUGGACAUGUAUGUCAUCGGCUUGAGGGUAUUCCCUCUAUCAUUGACAGGAGAUGUCUCUAUAUUGUUCACCGAGCUGCCCUACAACUCAAUCCAUACUUGGUUCAAUUGAGAGAUGUGUUUUUAGCAAAAUACUUUACAGUUUCUUAGAAGCUAAACCAUAAGGAUAAGGUGAACAACUUUGUGACUUUACCUAGUGAGUUGGUGAAUAGCUAUUGGGGUAAAUUUAUUGCAUUGAUAAGAGAUGUCCCACAUCAUCGCAUAGAUGAUGAGUCACUGAAGGAGUACUUCUACAAAGGACAAGAUGAAAACAAAAAAGAGGUGCUCGAUACAACUGCGAAUGGAUCCGAUGGGGAAUGCACAUAUUCUGAGAUUGCAGAGAAGUUAGAUAACAUAUCUUGCAUCAAUAAAUCCUGGAGUACUAAAAAGUCAGACACUAGGAAAAACACCUUUGUCGUUAAGGCUACAAAAAAUCUAGAUGCAGAUGAAAUUCGUGAACUUACAGCGCAGAUGAAAACUGAGUUGUCAUUGGUAUUGAUGCAUGUUCGAGGAGGCACGAAAAUGGUGACUGGCGGUGAAUUAUUUAAUUUGAAUUCCACCAUCGGUAGAAGAGUAUUACCAUGAAGAGGAUGCAAAUGCAAUGAAUAAUCAUACGGUGGGUUUAUGGAAAAAUACCCUAGGUUUGAAUCAGGAUAAUUGGCACCAAGGUCGAAACAAUGGAAACUAGAAAUGAGAGGAUAAAUAUAUUCGAGAUGGGAACUAAUAUUGCAAGAACAAUUUCAACCAGAACAACUAUGGCAAUAGGAAACCUACCCCUACGGAAGGUGGAGAUAGUAUGGAGCAGAUUUUGUACAUGAUGCAGAAGAUGUUGACAAGGUUUGACGCAACUCAUGAGAAAGUCAAGGAGAUGAUAAGUGACCUAUUAGGCAUUGGACAAAAAUUUGAUGCACAUGUCGUCUCGAUAAAACACCUUCAGCUACAAAUAAGUGAUUUGUCUACUAUAGUGAACCCAUGAAAACCUGGCACUCUCCUAAGCAACACUAUCAAGAACCCAAAGAAUGAUGUCCAUUGUAUGUCAGUCACUGCUCAAGAAGGUAAGGAGACCAUUGAACCAUCUAUGUCGUCUGUAGUAGAAGGUGAUAUGAGAAAGCAAGAUAAUGUAGUAGAAGCUAGUGGACAGUUGGAUGAUGAAACAAUGAAAGAAGCAUAGUUAUCUUAGAAUGUGGUUCCCAUACCUAGACCUCCACCACUAUUUCUAGAGAUAUAAGUGAAGAAAACGAAAAAGGGUAAGUAUCUCCAAUUUAUCACUAUGUUAAAAUAGUAUUCCAUCAAUGUUCUGUUGAUAGAAGUUUGGAGAAAAUAACCAAUUAUGCUAAGUUUAUGAAUGAUAUGGUGACAAAGAAGAGGUUAGUGAGUGUUGAGUAUGAUAAAAGAAUGUAUCGUUGUAGUGCUAUUGCUAGAAGAUCUCUCGUGCAUAAGAAAGAGGAUUUGGGUGCCUUCACUAUUCCAUAUACGGUAGUGUUGCUACACUUUGAUAAGUCUCUGUGUGAUCUUGGUGAGAGCAUAAAUCUUAUAAUAGUGUCCAUUUAAAUAAAGUUAGGUUUGGGUGACACAAAGCCUACUACUAUGUGCUUAAUGAUGGCCGAUCGAAUAGUGAAGAGGCCCAUAGGUAUACUCCAUAAUGUGUUUGUGCAAAUGGAGUCGUUUAUUUUUCCUAUCGAUUUUGUGAUUUUGAUUGUAACGUCUAUGUUGAGGUCCCCAUUAUUUUAAGGACACCAUUCCUUGCCACUGGGCGUGGACUAGUUGAUGUGGAAAAAGGGCCGAUGAAGUUUAGGAUGAACAAUGAAUAAAUUUUUUUUAAUAUUUGUAGGUCCAUGAAGCAGAGUGGUUAUUUCCAAAUGCUAUCUACUAUAUACUACAAAGUUGAUAGUGUAUCCGAAGUGCAAAUUGAAGAGAGACUAGGUAUUGAGGCACUAGCAGCGUUCAUCAUGAAUUUUGACAGUGAUGGUAUUGAAGAGUAUUAUUGUUUCCAAGCCUCACUUGAAUGAAACAAAUAUUGGUCAAAGUAGAUGAAGUUUGAAUUGGAUAUGAAGCAUCGUGACUCUCCACCUGCGAGACCAUCUAUUGUGCAAGCACUAAAAUAAGAGCUUAAGGCUCUACCAUCCAAUUUGAGGUAUAUGUUUUGGGUUGAGUUGCCACAUGCCGGGGAUUAAUGCAACAGAUUUAAAUGGGCAAUAAGUAGAGUGCUCAGUGGCGGUGUUGAAGAAGUUCAAGUGAGCCAUUGCAUGGACGAUUAUGGAUAUUAUUUGUAUCCCUCCCAGUAUUUAUUCACAAAAAAUCAAACUAAGGAUAGAUCAAAAACCGAGUAUUGGGCACCAAAAAAGGUUAAUUCAACUAAAGUAAAAAUAAAUGAAAAAAGGAAAUCAUCAAGUGGUUGGAUUGUGGGGUCAUUUAUCCUAUUGCGGACAAUAGUUUGGUGUGCCUUAUUCAGUGUGUACCUAAAAAAGAUGGGAUGACUAGGUUACCUAAUGAAAAGAACAAGUUUGUUCUGAUGAAGCCACUGACCGAUUGGAGUAUUUGCAUGGACUUUCAGAAGUUUAAUCCUUGGACUGAAAAGGACUAUUUGCCCAUUACCUUCAUGGACCAGAUGUUAAACAACUUUGCAGGCAAGUUGGUAUUGGUUUAUUGAUGGCUAUUCUGGAUACAACCAUAUCUCUAUCGUUACAAAAGAUCAAGAGAAUACCACCUUCACUUGUCCCUUUAGGAAUUUUGUAUUCAAAAAGAUGUCAUUUGGGUUGUGUAAUGCACCGCCUACCUUCCAAAAUUGUAUGAUGUUUAUAUUUUCUGAUAUGGUGGAGAAAACUUUUUAGGUAUUCAUGAAAGAUUUUUAUAUUGUUCGCGACUCCUUUGAUCGGUGGAUGAAUAAUUUGAUUGAGGUGCUAAAGAUAUGUGAAGAGUGAAAUUUGAUGCUAAAUUAGGAUAAAUGUCACUUUAUGGUGAAAGAAGGUAAAGUGUUAGGCGAUUAAUCUCAGAGAAGGGAAAAUCUAUUGAUCAGGACCAAGUAGAGGUGCUAGAGAAUCUUCCUCAACCCAUCUCUGUCAAGGGUGUAAGAUGUUUUGUAGGUCAUGCGGUCUUUUAUAGGAGUUUUAUUAAGGACUUUUUCAAUUAUGCACAUCCGUUGUGCAAACUACUCGAGAAAGAAUGUAAGUUCUAUUUCGACGAAUCCUAUCUAAAAUUACUUGAGAGUUUAAAGAGAAGUUGUGUUCGCACCAUUAUUAUUUUACCAAAUUAGAGUGAGACAUUUGAGGUGAUGUGUUAUACAAGUGAGGUUGCACUUGGUGUGGUAUUGGGACAAAGAAUGAAUUAAAUCCAUCACCCAAUCUACUACGCAAGUAAAGCCCAAAAGUACUACGCUAUAACUAAACAUGAACUUCUUAUCAUGGUAUUUGCAUUCGAGAAAUUUCAUACCUAUUUUCAUGGCACGGGCAUCAUAGUGCACAUUAACCAUUCAGCUUUGAGGUAUUUGACGGCAAUAAAGGAUGUGAAGCCAAGGUUGAUCAAAUUGUUAUUGUUACUGGAAAAAAUUGAUUUGGAUUUAAGAGAUAGACGGGGAAUUAAAAUUAAAUGGUCGAACACUUGUCUAAAUUGGAGGAUGAAACGAUGAAUGAAUUGGGGGAAGAGGCUGAAAUUGAUGAUGUGUUCAUAGAUGAGAAUGUAUAAGCUACUUCUCAGUAUCUGAUUCCAUGAUUCGAUGAUUUCGCGAAUUAUCUAGCAAGUAAUUUGGACCUUUCAGAUUUGACCUCCCACCAAAGGAAGAACUUCAUGCAUGAUGUGAAAUAGUUCUUUUGGGAUGAGCCUUACAUAUAUAUGUACCUAUGGGAUUAUUCGUCGUUGUGUACCUAAUAUUGAGAUGUUGAGUGUUCUAGAGGCGUGUCAUUCCUCACUUAUUGGAGGGAACCAUGGUGGUAUUCGAACUACGCAAAGAUUUUACAGUGUGGGUACUAUUGGAAAACCAUCCACCAAAAUGCUCAUGAUUUCGCCAAAUGAUGUGGAUCGAUGCCAACGAGAUGGAGGAAUUUCAAAAAGGCAUGAGCUUCCCUUGAAUCCCAUUCUGGUAAUUGAUCUAUUUGAUGUAUGGGGCAGUGAAUUCAUAGGCUCGUUUAUGAGUUCUCAGGGGGAAAAAUUAUAUUCUUGUGGUUUUUUAGUAUGUGUCAAUGUGAUUGGCAGCAAUUGUGCUCCCAAACAAUUAAGGGAAUUGUGUGACCACAUUUUUGAAGAAUAUUAUCUUUUCGAGAUAAGGUACACUUUGAGACAUUAUUAGCGAUUGAAGUUUGAUCUUUUAUAAUAAAUUAUUCAAGAGUUGAAGGAAAAAUAUCGUGUUUGCCACAAUGUGUCUACUCCUACCACCCACAGACUAGUGGGCAAGUUGAGGCUUUCAAUCGAAAGAUCAAACAAAUUCAGUAAAAAGUAGUGAAUACUGAUAGAAUGUACUGGUCAACAAGGUGAGAUGAUGCUCUUUGGGCUUUCGGCACUGCAUACAAGACCCCAUUGGUAUGUCUCCAUACAAACUUGUAUAUGGGAAGGCUUGUUAACGGUUGAGCUAUAACACAAGGCGAUUUGGGCAAUGAAAAAGCUAAACUUGGAUUUGACCGGAGCAUCAGAAUAAGGGCUGAAAGAGUUAAUUAAAUGUUCUUGAUGAGUUCUACUAAAAGCUUGUGAAAGUUCAGACAUCUACAAAGAGAAGAUAAAUAAGUAUUAUGACCAAAGAAUUGAAAUGUGAGAAUUUGCAAUGGUGAUCUUGUGCUUUUAUUCAAAUCUAGGUUGCGCUUAUUUCCAUGCAAACUCAAGUCAAAAUUGACAGCGUUAUUCCACAUUACCCAAGUGUUCCCACAUGGAGAGGUUGAGUAAGACAUUAAGUGUAACAACUUGUUUAGCCAUUUCGAGUAGUGGAAUCAUUUGUGAUAAAAACUGACUGGGUCGACGGAUCACGCGACAGACCGUCAUAAUCGGGAUGGACCGUGAUGGACGUCGUCGUCCCAUACUUGUGAAAUUUGUCCUGUGGCUCCCUUCAUUACCCUCAACGAUAGGUAGGACGAACCCUCAUAGGCACGACGGUCCGUCAUGUGUCUUCGUUCCAACACACUUCAACUCUAAAAUUUGGGUACUGGGAUCAACUCUCUGAACUUUACGACGGAACUGCAACACGGACCGUCAUAAAUAGGACGGGCCGUCACACCCCUUUUUACAUAAUUUGACUCUCUGAACUUUGUGACGGAUCUGCAGGACGGACCAUCGCAGGUAUGACGGGCCAUCACGAGUUGCAUAACCCCAACUGGGUCGAAUUUCUUCUAAAAGUUUUAAAGGGGUGUUUUGGACUAUUCAUGACAAACUGUAUGAAAUUAGUGGGGUAAGUUUAAUAAUUUACUUACUUGGGGGUUAAAAGAGAUAACCUUGAAAUAAAUAGUGGGUUACUUUUAUCAUCUUUUAUAAUUAAUUAUAUGAUAGUUAGGGUAAAAGAAAAAGAAUCUGCAGAAGAAAAAUAAAAAGAAGAGAAGAAACGAACGAGCGAGAGAGAGAGAGAGAGAGAGAGCGAAGAGGAAAGGAAAGGCAUUGGGAGGUAGCUUGCUUGAUCGCGAUUCUUCGGUGGAGGUAGGUUAUGGUUUAUGCUAUUUCAUAGUAAACUCUUAAUAGUAAUCAAUAUGUAUUGGAUGGUGUUGUAAUGUCUUCUAUAUGCUUGAUUGUGUGAUUCUAUGUUGUGAUUGUGUAAUUGUGGUGGAUUAGAAUGAUAACACUGUUGAAUCUUAGUCUUAAUACUCUCUAUUAAGAUGACGCCUAGCCAUAAAGAAGGCUUGAUGAACUAAAAUAAUGAGAUAAAGGGAUAAGGUGUCACGUUGCGACACGUAGUAUUAGGGGAUCGGGUGUCACGUUCCGACACGUAGUAUUAGGGGAUCAGAGUGUCACGUUUCGACACGUAGUAUUAAAGGAUCGGGUGUCACGUUCCGACAUGUAGUAUUAGGAGAUCGGGUGUCACAUUCCGACACGUAGUAUUAGGGGAUCGGAGUGUCACAUUUCGACAUGUAGUAUUAGGGGAUCGGAGUGUCACGUUCCGACACAUAGUAUUAAGGGAUCGGGUGUCAUGUUCUGAUACGUAGUAUUAGGGGAUCGGGUGUCACAUUCCGACACGUAGUAUUAGGGGAUCAGAGUGUGAUGUUUCGACAUGUAGUAUUAGGGGAUCGGAGUGUCACGUUACGACACGUAGUAGUAAUGGAUCGGAGUGUCACGAUCCGACAUGUAGUAUUAGGGGAUCGUGUCACAUGCCAAAACGGUAAUAAUAAAGAGGAUGAAUCUUGAAUUAUGUUAAUAUACUCAAUUUUGAAGAACCUAUUUUCCUAAAUGAGUAUGGUGUGGAGUCUUGAGUCCUCAUAGGUGUGCUUGGUGUUGUUGCCAAUGGUUCUGGUACUUGUUGUUGUCACUUGUUGAGUAUUGUAGUUGAUUUUAUGUUAUUAUUCGAUAUAUAUUGCUUUCUAUUUUGAGUUGGCUGAUGAAACUUACUCAGUACGUGUUCCUUGUACUAAUCCCUACUUGUAUUUUUCUCUUUGUUAUUUGUGGAGUUCAGCAUACGUGCCAUCGACUUCGGCUCGUCCGCAACUCUAGCCAGUCUCCAGCAUAUCAGAUUUCAGGGUGAGCUAUUAAUCCUAGCUCGGACUGGAUUCUCUCCUUCACGUCUUGAUGUCUUGAAGUUCGGACAUGGACCAUCUCUUUUACUUAUUUUAGCUUCUUAAAUACUCUUAGACAUAGAAAUUUGAGGAUAGAUGUUCUUGGUGUGAUCACUUCAAGAUUUUGGGGAUAAUAGUUGAUAAACUUUAGAAGCUUAUUUAUUGGUUAUAUUAAUAAGAUUUUGAGUCUUCCACAUUAUAUUUUGUUCAUUAUGGUUGAAAUAUUUGUAAAUGUUGGGGUUUAGAUUGGUUGGUUCGCUCACAUAGGAGAAUAUGUGUGGGUGCCACUCGCGGCUCGUUUUGGGUCGUGACAGAUUUGGUAUCAGAGAAUUAGGUUCGUUGGUCUCAUCACACAAGAACGAGUCUAGUAGAGUCUUGAGGAACGGUAGGGGACGCCCUUACUUUUCUUUGAGAGGCUAUAGGACUUCAGGAAAAUUCCAUUCUUUCCUUCUUUCGUGCUAUAACAUGGAUCCAAUUGGUAUCUAGGUGAUACAAAUUGGUAUCUGACAUCCUCAUUCUAUUUCGCAGAUGGUUAGAACUAGAGCAACAACUGUGAAAACACCAACACCGGCAAGACAAGGUGCAUCUGAGCCAGUCACUUGGGAUGUAGCUCGAGGAGGAGCAGUGGCAAGAGGCCGUGGUAGAGGUCGUGGGAGAACGUCCUUUAGAUGUAGAGGACAAACACCUGGUCCAGCUAGUACUAGGGCGGUCACUCCUCCACCGACUGAUGAGGUAGUAAGAGAGGGUGAGGAAGGGGAAAAUGAGCAAGUGCAAGAUGAGGAGUUACCACCUCAACCUACCCCAGAGAUAUUAACCAGGUUCUUACUUAUCUUAGCGGGUUAUCUGAUCAAGGAAAGACACCUCCAGUGUUUUCUGCACCAGCACCCCAGGUUCCGGGAGUACGGCAUGCAGCUGUUGUGGCUCCCCGCAUGGAUGCCUCAUUGGAAGUAGGCACGUUUCCUCGAUUGACUACAGGGCCUAUAAAGACGAGUGAUCAGCAUGAACUUUUCACUAAAUUCUUGAAAUUGAAAACUCCAGUCUUCAAAGGUGCUAAAUCUGAGGAUGCCUAUGAUUUUCGGGUUGAUUGUAAUGAGCUGCUAAAUAAGAUGGACAUAGUAGAAAUAUUCAGUGGUGAGUUUGUGACCUAUCAGUUUCAAGGGAAUGCCAAAAUGUGGUGGUGGUCCUAUGUUGAGUAUCAUCCAGCACAGGCACCACCUAUGACUUGUGAAUCAUUCUCUAGCUUAUUUAUGGAGAAGUAUAUACCCCGAACUUUGAGGCAUAGGAGGAGAGAUGAGUUCCUUAGCCUAGAGCAAGGAAGGAUGUCUGUUAUUACUUAUGAGGCCAAGUUUCGUGCACUAUCUAGGUAUGCCACUGAGCUUUGCUUCAGUUCACAAGAGCGGAUUCGCCAUUUUGUGAAAGGAUUGAGGUCAGAUUUGCAGAUCCCAGCCUUACAGGUAGCUGCAGCAGCAAAAUCCUUUCAGGAAGUGGUUGAUUUUGUGAUAGAGGUGGAGGGGGUGAAGCCAGGCGACUUUAUCCUGGCGUCGACAUAUAAGAAGCAUCGUAAGGGAGGUGAGUUUAGUGGUUCUUACUCAAGAGGGCAGAGUUCAGGAGGUUACCCAGCCCGACCUAUUCAGUCUUCACUGCAGGCUAUAGCUGGGUCCAUCACAGUCCAGUCAACAUUUCUCUGAGUUUGGAGGUUAUCCCAGACUUCGUCGUUCUCACGGAGACCUAUGCUUGACUCCAAAGAGUGUUAUGGAUUUGGAGAUACUGGACAUAUCAGGAGAUAUUGUCCAAAACAGAGUUACAGACCCCCGAUAGUCAGAGGUAAAGGUGGUCAUGGGAGAGGGCGUCAUUCUGGAGGACGUGGUGGACAAGGUAAUGGUGGUCACCAAAUCAGCCUGGGUGGCGGGCAAGCUGAAGCUACUGCAGCACAACAUGUUAGGGGCAAUGGGAAGACAGGUGAUAGGGCCUAUUUUAUGCUUUCCUCGUGAAGUCUGAAGCAGAGACAUCUGAUGCUGUUAUCACGGGUAAUCUUUUGGUCUGUGAUUACAUGGCUUCUGUAUUAUUUGAUCUUGGAUCCAAAUUUUCAUAUGUAUCUUUCUCAUUUACUACUGGUCUUGAUUUACAUUGUGAUUUACUUGACAUGCCUAUUCGUGUCUCUACUCAUGUGGGUGAGUCUUUGAUAGUCGAAAAGGUGUAUAGGUCAUGCCUUGUGACUUUUGUGGGGAGCAAUACUUAUGUAGAUUCUAUUAUUCUAGAGAUGGAUGAUUUUGAUGUAAUUCAAGGUAUGACUUGGCUUUCUCCAAAUUUUGCUAUCUUAGAUUGUAAUGCUAAAACUGUGCUAUUGGCUACGCCUGGGACUGAUCCGCUAGUGUGGGAGGGUGAGUAUACUUCCACUCCAGUUCAUAUCAUCUCCUUUCUUCGUGCUAAGAGAAUGAUUAGUAACGGUUGGUUAGAUUUCUUUGCACAUCUUAUGGAUGAUACUUCCCAAGUACCUUUGAUUGAGUCUGUCCCGAUAGUCCGUGAGUUUCUGGAUGUGUUUCCCGUAGACCUUCCUGGUAUGCCACCGGAUAGGGAUAUUGAUUUCUGUAUUGAUUUGGAGCUGGGUACUCGCCCCAUUUCCAUACCCACUUAUAGAAUGGCUCCAGCUGAGUUAAGGGAGUUAAAGGCACAUCUUCAGGAGUUGUUAGGUAAAGGUUUUAUUAGUCCAAGUGCAUCCCCUUGGGGUGCACCUGUUUUAUUUGUGAAGAAGAGGGAUGGAAGUUUUCGGAUGUGUAUAGACUACAGGCAACUGAAUAAGAUAACUAUUAAGAACAAGUAUCCUCUUCCUCGCAUUGAUGAUUUGUUCGAUCAGUUACAAUGUGCUUGUACCUUCUCAAAAAUCGAUUUGAGAUCUGGGUAUCAUCAACUGAAAAUACGGGCAGCAGAUGUGCCAAAAACUGUUUUUCGAACCAGGUAUGGGCAUUAUGAAUUCUUAGUAAUGUCUUUUGGGGUUACGAAUGCCCCUGCUUCUUUCAUGAGCCUGAUGAAUGGGAUUUUUAAGCCAUAUAUGGAUCUCUUUGUCAUUGUAUUCAUUGAUGAUAUACUGAUUUACUCAAAGAGCAGGAAAGAACACAAGGAGCAUUUGAGUAUAGUAUUGGAAGUGUUGAGGGAGAAAAGGCUUUAUGCCAAAUUCUCCAAGUGUGAGUUUUGUCUAGAUUCAGUUUCUUUCUUGGGGCACGUAGUUUCUAAGGAUGGAUUUAUGGUGGAUCCUUCUAAGAUUGAAGCAGUGAAGAGUUGGGUAAGACCUACUAAUGUUACAAAGGUAAGGAGCUUUGUUGGUUUAUCUAGCUACUACCGCCGAUUUGUCAAGGGAUUUUCUUCUGUUGCUUCCCAAUUGACAAAUUUGACUAAAUAAAAUGUUCCAUUUGUAUGGUCGGACGAAUGUGAAGAAAGCUUCCAGAAUCUCAAGACCUUGUUUACUACUGCACCAAUUCUUACCUUGCUAGUGGAAGGUAAGAAUUUCAUUGUUUAUUGUGAUGCAUCUUAUUCUGGUUUGGGUGCAGUUCUAAUGCAAGAGAAGAAUGUAAUUGCUUAUGGUUCGAGGCAAUUAAAAGUGCAUUAACAUAACUAUCUGACCCAUGAUUUGGAGUUGGCUGCAGUUGUGUUUGCAUUAAAGCAAUGGAGACAUUAUCUAUACGAGGUCAAGUGCGAAGUCUAUAAAGAUCAUCGUAGUUUACAGUAUGUCUUUACUCAGAAAGAUUUGAAUUUGAGGCAGAGGAGGUGGAUGGAACUACUGAAGGACUAUGAUAUUACUAUUUUAUAUCACCCUGGAAAAGCUAAUGUUGUGGCCGAUGCCUUAAGUAGAAAAGCAGGGAGCAUGGGUAGUUUAGCCAACUUAUAGGUUUCUAGACGCCCAUUGGCUAGAGAGGUUCAGGCUUUGGCUAAUGACCUCAUGAGGCUGGAAGUACUAGAGAAGGGAGGAUUUUUGGCCUUUGUGGAGGCAAGAUCUUCUUUUCUUGACAGGAUUAAGGGGAAACAGUUUACUGAUGAGAAACUGAUCCGAAUUCAAGAUAUGGUAUUACGAGGAGAGGCUAAAGAGGCAAUAAUUGACGAGGAAGGCGUUUUGAGAAUUCAGGGAAGGGUAUGUGUGACUCAUGUUGAUGAUUUCAUUCACACUAUUCUUAAAGAGGCUCCUACUUCAAGGUAUUCUAUACGUCCUGGUACAACCAAGAUGUAUCGUGACCUAAAGCAACAUUUUUGGUGGAGUAGAAUGAAGCGUGACAUUGCUGAUUUUGUUGCCCAAUGCCCGAAUUGUCAGCAGGUAAAGUAUGAACACCAGUGGCCCGGAGGAACACUUCAGAAGAUGCCCAUUCCUGAAUGGAAAUGGGAAAGAAUUGCAAUGGAUUUUGUGGUUGACUUCCAAUGACAUUGGGUAAGUUUGAUUCUAUUUGGGUAAUUGUUGAUAGAUUCCCUAAGUCUGCUCACUUCAUUCCGGUUAAGGUGACUUAAAAUGCAGAAAAGUUAACCAAACUCUAUACCUCAGAAUUUGUUCGAUUGCAUGGAGUUCCACUUUCCAUCAUAUCAGAUAGAGGUACGCAAUUUACUUCUAAGUUUUGGAGAACAUUGCAUGCUGAAUUAGGUACUAGGUUUGAUCUUAGUACUGCAUUUCACCCUCAGACCGAUGGUCAGUCUGAGCGAACGAUUCAUGUUUUGGAGGAUAUGCUUCGUGCAUGUGUGAUAGAAUUUGGUGGUCAUUGGGUUAACUUCUUACCCUUGGCAGAGUUUUCAUACAAUAAUAACUACCACUCAAGUAUUGAUAUGGCCCCAUUUGAGGCACUGUAUGGGAGGAGAUGUAGGUCUCCCAUUGGUUGGUUUGAUGCAUUUGAGGUGAGACCAUGGGGGAUGAAUUAAUUGAGGGAAUCGUUAGAUAAAGUAAAAUUCAUUCAGGAGAAGCUUCUAGCCGCUCGGAACAAGCAGAAAGAAUAAGCAGAUCGAAAGGUUAGGGACUUGGAUUUUAUGAAGGUGAACAAGUCUUGCUGAAGGUUUCACCCAUGAAAUGGGUGAUGCAGUUUGGUAAGCGAGGUAAGCUUAGUCCGAGGUAUAUUAGUCCAUUUGAAGUUCUGAAGUGCGUGGGGGAGGUGGCUUAUGAAUUGGCAUUACCUCCACGACACUCAGGAGUGCACCCGGUAUUUCAUGUGUUUAUGCGAAAAAAAUACCAUGGUGACAGAAACAACAUUAAUCGUUAAGAUUCAGUUCUUCUUGAUGAGAAUCUGUCUUAUGAGGAGGAGCCUGUUGCUAUUUUAGAAAGAGAAGUCCGAAAGUAGAGAUCAAGGGAGAUCCAUGAAGGUUCAGUGGAAGAAUCGGCCGGUUGAAGAGUCCACUUGGGAAAAGGAGGCUGACAUGCAAGAAAGAUAUCCACAUCUUUUUACAUAUUCAGGUACUCUUUCUCGCCCUUGUUUUUCUUCUAGUGAUCGUUCGAGGACGAACGAUGGGUAAAUUGGUAUCUAUUGUAACAACCUGUUUAGCCAUUUCGAGCAGUAGAAUCAUUUGUGAUAAAAAUUGACUGGGUCAACGGAUCACGCGACGGACCGUCAUGGUCGCGACGGACCGUGAUGGACGUCGUCAUCCCAUACUUGUGAAAUUUCUCCUGUGGCUCCCUUCAUUACCCUCAACGGCAGGUAGGAAAAACCUUCAUAGGCACGACGGUCCGUCAUGUGUAUUCGUUCCAAAACACUUCAACUCUGAAAUUUGGGUACUGGGAUCAGCUCUCUGAACUUUACGACGGAACUGCAGCACGGAUCGUCGUAAAUACGACGGGCCGUCAAAACCUUUUUACUGAAUUUCACUCUCUGAACUUUGUGAGGGACCUGCAGGACGGACCGUCGCAGGUACGAUGGGCUGUCACGAGUUGUGUAACCUCAACUCGGUCGGAUUUCUGCUAAAAGUUUUAAAGAGGUGUUUUGGACUAUUCAUGACAAUCUGUAUGAAAGUAGUGGGGUAAGUUAAAUAAUUUACUUACAUGGGGGUUAAAAGAGAUAACCUUCAAAUAAAUAGUGGGUUACUUUUAUAAUCUUUUAUAAUUGGUUAUAUGAUAGUUAGGGUAAAAGAAAAAGAAUCUGUAGAAGAAAAAUAAAAAGAAGAGAAGAAACGAACGAGCGAGAGAGAGACAUAGAGAGAAUAGGAAAGCAAAGGCAUUGGGAGGUAUCUUGCUUGAUCGCGAUUCUUCGGUGGAGGUAGGUUAUGGUUUAUCCUAUCUCAUAGUAAAUUCUUAAUAGUGAUCAAUAUGUAUUGGAUGGUAUUUUAAGGUCUUCUAUAUGUUUGAUUGUGUGAUUCUAUGUUGUGAUUGUGUAAUUGUGGUGGAUUAGAAUGAUGAGACUGUUGAAUCAUAAUCUUAAUCCUCUCUAUUAAGAUGACGCCUUGACAUAAAUAAGGCUUGAUGAACUAAAAUAAUGAGAUAAAGGGAUCAGGGUGUCACGUUCCGACACGUAGUAUUAGGGGAUCGAGUGUCACAUUCCGACACGUAGUAUUAGGGGAUCAGAGUGUCACGUUCUGACACGUAGUAUUAAGGGAUCGGGUGUCACGUUCCGACACGUAGUAUUAGGGGAUAAGGUUUCACGUUUCGACACGUAGUAUUAGGGGAUCGGAGUGUCACGUUCCGACAUAUAGUAUUAGGGGAUCGGAGUGUCACGUUCCAACACGUAGUAUUAAGGGAUCGAGUGUCAUGUUCUGACACAUAGAAUUAGAAUAUCGGGUGUCACGUUCUGACACGUAGUAUUAGGGGAUCAGAGUGUCACGUUCUGACACGUAGUAUUAGGGGAUCGGAGUGUCACGUUCCGACACGUAGUAGUAAUGGAUCGGAGUGUCAUGUUCUGACACGUAGUAUUAGGGAAUCGGAGUGUCACGUUCCGACACGGUAAUAAUAAAGAGGAUGAAUCUUGAAUUAUGUUAAUAUACUCAAAUUCGAAGAACUUAUUUUCCCAAAUGAGUGGUGUGGAGGCUUAAGUCCUCAUAUGUGUGCUUGGUGUUGUUGCUAAUGGUCUGGUACUUGUGGUUGUCACCUGUUGAGUAUUGUAGUUGAUUUUAUGUUAUUAUUCGAUAUAUAUUGCAUUCUAUUUUGAGUUGGCCGAUGAUACUAACUCAGUACGUGUUCCUUGUACUGAUCCCUACUUGCAUUUCUCUCUUUGUUAUUUGUGGAGUGCAGAAAACGUGCCAUAGACUUCGACUCGUCCGCAACUCUAGCCAGUCUCAAGCAGAUUAGAUUUCAGGGUGAGUUAUUAUUCCUAGCUCGGACUGAAUUCUCUCCUUCACGUCUUGAUGUCUUGAAGUUCGGACAUGGACCAUCUCUUUUACUUAUUUUAGCUUUUUAAAUACUCUUAGACUUAGAAAUUUGAGAAUAGAUGUUCUUGGUGUGAUGACUUCCAGAUUUUGGGGAUUAUAGUUGAUAAACUUUAGAAGCUUAUUUAUUGGUUAUAUUAAUAAGAUUUUGAGUCUUCCGCAUUAUAUUUUGUUCAUUGUGGUUGAAAUAUUGGUAAAUGUUGGGGUUUAGAUUGUUUGGUUCUCUCACAUAGGAGGAUAAGUGUGGGUGCCACUCACGGCUCGUUUUGGGUCGUGACAUUAAGGAAGGAAGAAGGUACACAGUCAAUGGACAAAAGAUUAAAAUCAACCUAGGGCAUGCGUAGAGUGUCCACAAAGUGGUUAAGUCCUACCAUCUUGAUGAAGUCUUAGUAAUAAGGGGACCUACUUCGUGCCCCGAUGUUGAAUCAAGCGCUACUUGGGAGGCAACCCAAGUACCAUCAAACAAAUGAAAAGUUUCAUUUAUCAUGUACAAAAAGUAGUUGUUUUGCUUAUAAUUAGUUGUUCUAAGUGUUCCAUUUUUUACUCGUGCUAGUGUGGGCUUGAAAUUAGUGUAGGGUCUCUAUCUAAAAUCUGUAAAGAAAAACAGAGAAAGAAUGGCCUAAUUGGUGUUACAUGUGCAGGAGGAAAAAACUAAAAUCUGCAAAAAAAAAGUCUAGUGAAGAGGUGUACGGACCCCAUUAACAGUUCGAAUUCAAUCAAUGGACUGUCAAUGGUGUCCUUAUAUCCCACUAAUAAUUCAAAAAUUUUCUAAGUUUAAUUCUGAUCAAGUGUCCUCAUCGAUGGACCGUCGAUGGGGUUUCAUACAUCCAAAUAACUAGGGAAUUAACUUGACCCAGACAGUUAUAUUAAAACCUCAACCUUUCAAAUUCUUUCCCUCUUUCCAUUUUAUUUGAAAUUCCUUUACAUAACUGUUUCACCCCAUAAAAUUCCUCCCUAAACCACUCCCAAAUUUAAUAUCCCAUCUCCCAAAAUCAUUUAUCCCCUCAUUUUCUCAAAAUCCAGAACAUUUUCUCUCCCAAAUUCUCUCUUCCUCCAUUCUCCAAAGUCUAGUGAUCGGGUUCAGAAAGUGUCGGCUAUUGCUUCGGGGUUGCAUAUUGCUUUAGACUCACAAACACAAAACUUUUUACUGUUUGAAAGGUACAAAUAACUUAAAAAAAUAUAAUUUUCUACUCCAAGAAGGGCAAAUCCAAGUCGUUCACAUUAACUUAUCGGUUGAUCGAUGAGGACACCUAUGUAUAAAAGGACCAGCCUAUGUUCCUUCGAGCAAAAUACCUACACAAACAUCAUCCCGAGCCACAAGGGACACCCCUAGAUGGUGAACCCCAACAUAUUCACUACCUUCAUAGUUUGAGGAGGAGCGCACACUGGUCGUAUCACCAACUAGUGUUGCUUCCAUUUCAUAGAGGGGCUCAUCAUCCGGCACCAAGUCUGCCACAGGUCCACGUUUAGGAUCGCUCCAGACUUUCGGUUCCAUGACGGCCACUUCCACUGCUUUUAAAUCUAAAGGAACCACCAAAUCACGAGGUCAAGAAGAAAAAACCUAUUCUUAUAAUGCUACUAGUUCGGAUGUUGUAGUUAUACCCCGAACAGAUGACAAGACCCUUGUUGUAAAUAUACAAAACAUUUGGUGCGUAGAGGGGAAAUGGAAAGUAUAUAGAGAUUCUAAAAAUGUCAAUUCGAGGGGGGUAAUAACCUGGCAGGUGAAUGAGGAGCAUCGAGUCCUCAUAGGAUGUUUGCACGUAGUUCUAGUGGUUCACAGACUCUUUAAUCCCCACAAAUUAAACUGGAAGGGUCAUGAAUUCGACCCUUAUAGUGAGUAGAUUAUUUGGGAGUACUAUGGCUCCUACGUUGCCAUUGGUCGAGGGUCUAUAAGCGGGAAAAACCCACAAAACAAGACCCUCUAACCUUUGCAUUCUUCCGGGACUGCCAUGUUGACAUAUAAGAAGACAUCAUGUAUCAAUUCGUAUACAGUCCCACCACCGGUUAAUAGUGGAGCCACAAUACUUUGAUGUUUUACUAUAGGUGGGAAAUUGUCAAGACUGGUUAGUAGUAGAAGAGUGCGGAAAAUCAAGAGGAGAUGAAAAAUGGUUGGCUCAAUAUAUAGUGAAAGAUUUUGAGAGGGUUGACUGGGUUAUAGAUCCCUGAGAGCUAAUAAAGAAGGCUACCCUCAAUUUUGUGGACAAUUUUUUCUAGUUAUUAGUUCUACAUCGAAUAUUGCAAACAAAGGACGACAAUGUAAUUUCAUGAGAUAGGGAGGUGAUGGUGUACACACAGGUAGCUGGACUAGAGAUAGAAUUCACACGGAUGAUUUUUUAUGUGGUACACGAGAGGGCAUUCAAGACCUCCAACACUUACCCUUUUCCAUGUCUGAUCUUCCAGAUGUGUGGGGACGUCAGAGUGCCAAUUUAGCAUUGUGAUACACUCUGUUGGCUUACAUGGACAUUAUAUAUAGGUCUCAUCAAGGAUGAGUCCAAUGAGGAAGCACCCCGCAGAGAUGUGGCCAAUGUGUCAAUAUGCCACAGAGGGCCCUCGGUUAAGGUUCCACUAUUGAGCGACAAUUACACAGAAAUAGUGGAGCUAUCCCAAGGGGCUGACCCUUUCGUGCUAGAUCAUGCUGACCCUACUUCGGUCUCCUACUCAAAUGCAGCUUGCAUGGCCCCAGUUCAUCCAGAUCCUUGCUACCAACUACAGCAGUGAUCCCUCUUUCUUGAUUCCAGAAGCUAGAGGUGCAUAUGGCAACCCUGCUCCGCAUUAUUCAUCCAUGGAUACAAAAGUCCAUAAAAGAGGUAGAGAAGUUCAUAGAGAAGCGGAUGGUAAAGCAGGCGAAGCAGUAUAUUCACACAGCUUACAAACUCCUUGAUGCAUUUGAGUUGCAUGUUCUAGCAUGACCCCCCCCCUUAACCUGCCUGUGAUCUAGACUGAUCUAGCCAGCCUGCUAGAUGAUCUGAAUGCCAUCCUAGAGUUGCGGUGGGCUGAGCCAGAGUUCUAUUACAGAGAUAGAUGAGGACACUGUUCUGGAUGAAUUGUUUAAGGUCCUUAUUGAGAUGCAAACCACACCCUGUGUUCAUGGAAAGAGGCCCCGCUCUAGACACACUGUUGAGGUCGGUGAUGAGUUAGUGGAACAAAAAGAUAGAGGACAGACUUAGAACAAGAUAGGAGAGCCUCACUAGUAGCUGAAGAGAUGCGCCAGAUGAGGUUCCAAGAGAUAACUACUGUAGAAUCCAGUUAUAUGCCUGUGAGCGAAGAGAAAAACACUAAUGAUGGUGCAGAGUUAGAUGUGUGCACUACUGGCAGUGGCCCAAUUGCUAAUCCUGCGAGUUUCGGAUUCCGGACCCACCCCUUAUUGAGAGCUCUUCGGCGCUAUGCGCCACAAGUUUGCUUAACCCACCACCCCUUGUCUUUGAUUUAUUAUGAUUGGGGACAAUAUCUAAAUUUUUUUGGGGGGUGGGGUAAAUGGAAUAUUGAAGUUUGACUAGCCCAACUCACAAUCCUCUAUUGGGAUUUUCUUGCCUUUGUUGUUUUUGCCAACAAACUACUUUAAUUUUUUUUGAAUCGACAUGUAUUAGUGAGUAAAUAUGUACAAGCAUGAAAAACAAAAGCAUGAUGGUAAAUAAGAAAAUAAUAAAUAAAUGAUAAAUGAUACCUAGUGGAUUGGAGUGCUUGCAUAUAUAGCUUAAGAUAGGUUGAAUGUGUUAGAUGUAAACAUGACAUAAAUAGGCACCCACUGUAUGACGUUCAACUAAACACCGAUCAGGGAAAUCUGAUAAUCUGAUAGUGCAAUGAUGUGCAAAGAGAGUGUGAGAAAAUUUGAGUGUUCUACUGUUGGUGCCUAACUAGAACUUUCCCCGUUAGUCCUGCGAAUUGAAUCUACUCUAGAAGCUAGGAGUUGACAAAGUGAAAUAAUUGUGCCUUUUUUAUCCAAAUGUGUUGAUCCUGUAAUAGAUCAAUUUUUUUAUUCACCAACUCACCUUCCCAGGGUCUAAUGUUUUAGCCCAGUCCCUCCUUAGACAUGUGCGUUUCGACUUAGGCCAAAAGCCCACUUUGAGGGCGGCUAAUGCAGAAUGUGAUCUCGUUUUGGACCUGAUCCAACUUUUGGUAUUUUAUACCUCAACCUGUGACGAAGCCAUUAGUUGAGGGUAUAUAUGAAGAGAGAAUAGCCAAAAUUGGUAUGAAAAGAGUUGGGUAUUGAAAAGAAAAGAUUAAUAAAGAGAAAGAUGUGACUUGUCCAAAAAACGAAAGAACAGUUGAAAAAAAUAAAAGAAAGAGUUUUCUGAGAAAAAGAUUCAAAAGAAAAGUGAAUGUAACAUUUAAAAAAAAGGUAAAUAUGGAAAAAGAAAGAAGAGAUAAGCAAUAGGGGAUCAAAAUCAAUAAAUAAAGGAAGCACUACCACAAAAAGAAAUUUUAGCGGUAAUAAAAAAUGACUUUAGUGUCAAUAACAAUAACCACUAUAACCUUUACCGGAAAUGGUGUUUAUCUGGCAAUGUUGGGGUCGGCUAAUGCUUCUCCAGCCAUUUAGGAAAAUGCUGGUAAAGGGCAUUGCCAAUUUCCGCUAAAGGUCAUUAGUAUUA